GGCGAGGCGGCCAUUGGGUGGGCCUGCGUCCUGCGCUGUGGAUGUGUGUCUCCCGCACGGCCUCUUGGAGCUGCCUCUGUCCCUGUGUGAUCUUGGGUUGGGUGAGGAGGAGGCUGCCGAGGGUUAGUCAUCCUGAGAGGGCAAAAGGCCUUCAACUCUUCAACUUUCGGCUUUGGAGGUGUCCUUGUGGACUCAGGAGUUUUCACACCUUCGUUACAGAGAAUUCAAGGAGGCAUCCAGAGGACGCUGCACACCCAAGCUGCUGUUCCUCCCUGACUGCGCAACCUGGAGAAAUCCAGAUCAAGGCUGACGUCUACUUGAUCCACUCAGAUUUUAAAAUGGUUCCAGCUGGGUGUGGUGGUACAUGCCUGUAAUCCGAACAUUCUGGGAGGCUGAGGCAGGAGAGUUAGCAGGUUUGAACCAGCCUGGGUGACUUAGCAACUUAGCAAGAUCCUGCCUCAAAAUAAAAAAGGCCUGGGGAUGUAGCUCACUGUGAAUCCUCUGAGUUCAAUGCCCAGUACCAAAAAAAAAAAUCCAACCCACAAAACCAUAAAAAAAAAUUUUUGUCUUAGUGCAAAAAAUCAAUCUUGCGUUUUCUCCCACGUAAGUGAUUUAGAAAGCGACAAAAGGGCAGAGCCCAUUUCACAUGGGUCUUGGCGUGUGCCACGGUCUCGCCACCAUGGUUUUUUACACCUUCCAAGAGCACAGGCCCUGUCUGCUUCGUCCUUGUGCCACCAGAGCUGAGGACAGUGCCUGCCAGACCUAUCAGGUGCCCCGCAUACUUGUGGUGGGUGAGAACAUGAACUUGUCGGUCAAAAGCCCACCAGUGGCUGUCUAGGGUUCUUAUUUUUAGGGAAAAAGUGUGCUCCUAACAGUGAUAAUGAUCACAACUCCAAAGUGGGAAAUAAAAUACGUUGACAGUGGCGCGGUGCCUUAGGCCAGCCCUGUGGUUUGUUCAGAGCUUGGUCUUCUGCAGAACGUCUUACUAAUAAGUGAUCUAUUUCCUGCAGAGCUUUCAGCUUCUAUAAGCAAAUUUCUUUUUAGGUAAAAGGUCAGAAAAUUUUUUUUCAGUUGGUUACAUCGACAAAAGAGAUUCACAAAGCCUAAGAAAGUUAUAGACCUCAAACCACGUGUGUGCUUUAGCUUGCGAUACAGUGCACACUCUCAUCCGUGGUCCUACUAAUCUGUGACUGUGAUGCCUCCUAUCUGCAAGUAAACCAGCGUGAGGAAACACGCACGUACACCUGUGCAAAUAAAAUACUCUCUUGUGUCAGCUGACGGGCACCGUCAGCCAGCUCAUCAUCAGCCUCUUUUGGAAUCUACCCCACACCCCUCCUCCGUACACACAGAAGUCAUGCAAGUCAAUGGCUUUCCUCGCAGGCGAGCCCUUAGAAGGCUUCGAAGAGCCUCACGUCCUAGUGACUGAGCCACUCUGCCGCUUCAAAGGCUUUUAGGAAGAAGGCCAGGCCGAGGCGGCUGGCUGCCGGCUCAGAAAGUGCAAACCAACCUAACAGCCCGUGGUGGCUUCCUGAGCUUUAGCAUUUUAACCAUUAUUCUCGAUUUUACUCAUGACCUAGCCCCUCUUUUAACAUUAAAAAUAAAUCCUUCCCUGAACUUUUGCCCUCUGAAGUUUUGAUCUCUGAUCUUGCUUGAACUUUUGCCCUCUGACGUUUUUCCCCCUUUCGUUUUGCCUCUUGCAUUCUCUGAGUAAGGAGGGCAGCCACAGUACUGAUAUUAGGCAGCGCGCAGUAAGGGCCACUCCCAGGCCCUGUCUGGCUUCCUGGAAGCCCUCGCCACCUCCUGCACGCUCAGAGGAGGCCAAGUCCUGGGCCCCCCACUAAACCGGGGCCCUCUUUUUCCCACACCUGCUAAAAAUAAUCCCUAAUGAAAGACCCACAGGAAAUUUCCCCAGGUGAGUCAGGCGGCAAUGUAUUAGCAACGGACUGGGCCGCUGGUCCAGGGGAAGACUUAGAGAAUUUCUCCUAGCAGUAAAAGAAAGCGAUUUUUAAAAUUACAGUGGGAAAAGAUAGAAAUGCUUCCCACAUAGCUUAACCACAUGGUACCAACUGCAGUGACCCCUCGGGCUGCUCUGCCCUCCCUGAAGCACUUCAGGACAAAUCACCCUUUGUGUUAUCGCUCUGCUAGCACUGCCCCAGAUAAAAAUCACAAGCGAGGAAUGACACCAACCUCAGCGAAGCUUUUAAUGGGACCACACUGCAGCCUAAAGGGUCCCUAGGGUCAAUUGUUCCAUCCCCUCUCCUUAGAUCCCAAACUCUGCAGCUCUUACAGAAAACACUGGUGUAUCUGCAUAUAACUCAUCCACGUCCUCCUGGGUACUUCAACUCCUCUCCGGAUUGUAAUAUCUGAUACAAUGUAAUUGCUCUGGAAAUAGUUUUUAUACUGUAGUUUUGGUUUAGCAGGGUGGUUUUGGUCUUUUUGAGACAGGGCCUCGCUAUGCAGUUCAGGCUGGUCUUGAACUCACUUUGUAGCCCAGGCUGGUCUUGAACUCACAUCGAUCCUCCUGCCUCAGCCUCCUAAGUGCUGGGAUUACAGGCAUGAGCCACCAUGCCCGGCUAUACUGUAGUUUAGACAAUAAUGGCAAGGAACGUAUCUGCAUGUGUUCACUGUAGACACAGUUUCUAAAAUUCUUUCCUAUCAUCUUGUUUGGUGAAACUCUGUAUCGUUUAUAAUUUUUUUGUUUCUAUUUUUUAUUCUCUUUAAUGGUUUGAUUAAUCUUGCAUCCUUACAUCUGGUAAUCUGACCAACUUCGAUGAAAGUAAAACUAUGUAAUGUAACACCCACUGUUAAUCCCUAUCAAUUUGUUCUGAAACCCCCGUGUCAUUCUUACUGUUUUUGCUUUGUUUUGUUUUUGCCUGUGUUGUUGGCAUUUUGCUAUUAUUCUUUUUUAAAUUCUCUUUAAAGUAAAAAAUAAUAAUAAAAUUCUUU
rnacentral:lncRNA from 1 species